UACGAAGGGGGCUAGCGUUGUUCGGAAUUACUGGGCGUAAAGCGCACGUAGGCGGACUAUUAAGUCAGGGGUGAAAUCCCGGGGCUCAACCCCGGAACUACCUUUGAUACUGGUAGUCUCGAGUCCGGAAGAGGUGAGUGGAAUUCCGAGUGUAGAGGUGAAAUUCGUAGAUAUUCGGAGGAACACCAGUGGCGAAGGCGGCUCACUGGUCCGGUACUGACGCUGAGGUGCGAAAGCGUGGGGAGCGAACAGG
rnacentral:rRNA from 1 species